rnacentral:lncRNA from 1 species
UGUGUGACCCUGCAGGUACGAACCUAAGUCGGUAGCACAGGAACCAAUUCCUGUACUAAUCAAAGUGACCAUCUAGCAAUGGUACCCGAUGUCCAGAUAGAUCGAAUAAUCGCAAUCGCAACACUCAGAACCUACGUGAAUAUGGUUAUUGUAUAAUUCAUCCUUUUGACCCCUGUGUUUAGGAUGACUCAGGGUUAAACUGUCAACCCUGAUUAGAUCAUCCGAAUCAUGCUCAACUCAAACAGUCCUGUGACUCCUCACUAGGACUACCCUGGCCA